GUGAGAAGGGCACAGGGUUCUAAGUCAGUGGCUACAAAGUCUAGAGUCUGUACCCUAACCCGAGCGCUGAGCACACAGUAUCUCGUUUAACAGUCCAGCCACAGACCUGUGAGGCAGUGACCUUAUUCAUUUUACAGAUGAAGAAACGAGCAGAAAUGCGCAUAUCUGGUGAAUGGCAGGACUGGGGAUGUACUCUAACGCAGCUGCCCUUACCUCUCCCGCGUGUGCCUACUUUCAGUGAGGGCAGCGGGGACCCAGAGCAGUGACUAGAGGGAGGAUGGUGUGGGUGUCUGGUUAUCCCACGUCUCGGCUCUGCUUCGCGACUUCACCUGACGCCCCAGCGGGAGCUGCGUUCCCGGCUACGCGCCGCGGCCUCCCCCACCUCAUUGGCCAGGGUGGGGCACGUGCCCUCCGCGCAGCCAAUGGGGCGAGGGGGCGGAGCGACUGGGGCGGACCUGGGACCGCACGGCGCCGGGAGGGAAGCCCCCGCGCAGAGCGCGCCACCGCCUGCGUCCCUGUGAAGCGGAGUGCAGGUCACUGCCCGGAAGAAAGAGGGAGUUGGUGGCUUGAGCCUUUUGAAAGAGAAGGGCUGUGGCUAAGAUCUGGGAGCAGAUGGAGGAGAAGUGGCACAGAGGCAGGGCAGGGGCCAGGGGCCUGCCUGGGAAUACACCUUGACCCAAAGAAGGGACAGAUGGCUGUCAGGUGCUGGGAGAGGCUGAUGGAACAGCACUGAGGGGGAGGAGCAAGAUGGCCUCUUUCUUCCCUGCAAAACUGACAGGGCAGCUGCCACCUGUACUUGGACGCCUUCUCAUGAAGCCUGGGAUGUGAUUCCUCCUCCUCCAGGCUCUUUCCAGUGGGGCACUGUACCUCCUGGAGCUGAAGUGUGCUAGUAGAAAUGAGGUGGUCUAGGCACAGCAUGGACCUCAGAUCACCCACACCUUGUUUUCACCCAUUUUCAAUGAUUCCUGUCCAAGUUGCAUGGAUGUCCUCACCACAAUCUGAUAGCUGGGCUGGAGACUGGGACAGAGAUGCCUCCUUCAUGGUUCCCUGCACACACACAACCCUCUGUCCUGAGCAGUUCCUCUCCCAAGCAUCCCAGUGAGCCCAGCAGCUAAGGUUAUCUCACCUCCCCAGCCUGGCCCUGGGCCAGCAGGAGGGGCUCAGCCAUGUGUAGGGGAGACAGGACUUGCUGAAGCGGACAGAUUUCCCACAUGCUCCCAUAUGGGAGCCAUUGUAACAGCCAGGAGUGUUGAUUCCUGGGGAAGAGAGUCUGCCUUUGGCCAUGUGACAGGGUUUGGGGCUCUGGGCCUUUCCCCUCAAUAUCUGUGACAGAGGCUGGCCCACCUCCUGCCCACAGGCCAUCUCACCCAGUGUGAGAACAGGACCCCCACUCCAACCGGGCCUGGACACUGAGAGGUGGGCCCCAGCAGCCACUUGCCAGGCCUCCUGGCCCAGGGCCGCCCCCAGCACUGCUACCUGCACCGACUUCUCCCCAAGCAACCGAACACUCUGCCUCCAGGGCCUGUGCACAGCGCUCCAACUCCAGCUUCUCUCCUUGUAACUGCUGCAGCUGCUCCAGGCAGGCCCCAAGCCACUGGUCACUCUGACCCAGCUCUUCCAAGAGUCUCUUGUUCACCUGUGAAGACCCUCAUUCCACCCAGAGUCAUGGCUUAGCCUCAGGGCCAUGGGGCUCACCUGACUGAGAUCUAUCUGCUCAAGCUAGCCCACAGGCCUUUACUGACGCAGCCCCCUCCUCCCAGCGUUCCUGACCUCCACGUCCUCUGAGACUCAACCCUUCCAGGACGCCUCUGACCACCCAGCCCACAGGGGCUCCUCCGACUCCAGACCAAAUGAUUUAAGUCUGGACAGUACCUGGGUGUCCACCAGCAGAGGGUGCUGUUUCAGUGGAGUCCCUCAGAAUCCUCCAAGGACGAGGGCCCAGGCUCACCUGCUGCUCUGCCCUCCUGGCACAGAUAAGCACAGCCUGGCUCAGUUCAUGCCCUGUGUUCCCUGCAGGGCUGAGCCUGCCAGCUGUCUUGACCCACCUGGGUGAGCAUCAGCGGCCGCUCCCACAGGUGGGUUGUAUCCUGAGCCUAUGCAGGGUUCUCAGCUGCCCCCAUCAAGACUCUCUCUGAGCCCUGAAGUGCCUGGGUCCCGAUGCCAUCCCAUCUCUGCUUCUCAGCAUCUCCUGCAGCUACGCUCAGUCCAGGGGGCGCCUCCCAGUUUCCAACCACAGUGUUAUGACCCUGAACAAGUUCUUCCCUACCCUCUGGGCUGUUUUCCCAUCUGAAGCAGAAGAGAAGCCAGUUGGGUGAUCACAAGCUCUUUCCAAAUGUUAGGGAGAGAAGCAUCCCCUCUGGGCUGAACAGAAGCCCCUGCACUGCCCUCCUUCCCUGGCUGCUGCUCCAAGACUGAUGACCCGGAUGAAGUACAGGGCAGGGCUGGACACGGGCCCUGCCAUGCACCCACUUGGAGGAGGGCUCUGGUCAUCCCUACUCCAGGGGUCCUCAGGCUGGGCUCCAGGUCAAGGGGCUGUCAGCUCAUCUUGUCGAAAAACCACUGGGCCUUUUCCACUUCUAUCUGCAGUAGCAGGGUACUGGAGGCAGAAGAGACUGUCUGCCCAUCCUCUGCCACCCCACUCCUCCCCGACUCCUGGCACCCUCACUUGUCUUCCAUGUCCUGGUCUGGCCUCCUCCACUCCUUCUGUCCCUGGGAUCCCCAUAGUUGGUGUCUCUCCUGCUCCAGGCAGGCCAGGGAGCAAUCCACCUACUUGGGGGAGGGCUAGAGGCAGCAUGAGCCACUGGAGACGGCAGGACCAGCCUCAAAACAUGCAUCCCCCACCCUGGGCAGGGCAGUGUCUGCAACCCCUGAUAAAGCAGGCUGACUCCACGAGGUCCUGCCUGCUUCACCAGCUGUGAUAAGCCCAGCUGGGGGCCCAGCAUGGACCUGUGCCCUGACUUGUACACAUGGGACUGUGCCUCAAGGCUCUGGGAAGCUGCCCAGCUGUUAUCACUACAGGUUCCAGAUGUACAACCCUUCACCUCCAGCUGGACCUGAGACACAUCACCUCUCCAGCCCAGCUCCUGAUGGCUUUGGUGCUCCAGCAAGAGUACAGGGGAUGCUGCUGUGGAAUGCUAGAGAGUGGCAGGCAUGUCAACUGGGUCCCCAGCCUGGUAGGGAAUAAUGGCUCUAGGAGGGUCAGCUAUGGACUGAGACCCCCAGGUCACUAAAGGCUGAGGUAUCUGGGCCAUCAUAGGGUGGUACUGUCCAUAUCCUCACUUGGGUCAGGGAUGCUGGGUACCUCCCAUAGGAGCCUCAGUUUGCAUAGCCCUCUCUUCCUCCCUGAGGAUAGAAGCUUCACCAGGGGUGGCUGGGCUUCUAAGGAAACUCUUCUAUCCAUUGAGUUAAAACUAGCCACCUCCUUCCCUCUGACUCUUGAGGGGAGUGGGGAGGCUACAGGUUCUCUGGCCCUUUCUUUGCUUCUGUCCACAGUUCCCAGCCACACCAGGUAAUGCACCACACACCUCCAGAGGUGCCAUUCACAGAGAUGACACUUUGAACAUGGCAGCCCUGUUGGGGAAUCAAUUCCCGUCUGUCUCCUUUGGAUGCCCCAGACCCCGACAAGACUUCUUCCUGAGAACAUGAUACCAGACGUGGGCACCAGCCCUGAGCAUUCUGGAGUUUUCAGCCUAGUAAGGGGAACUUGCUAGCUCUGAGGACCACGCUGGGGCUGUGAACAAGCAAGGAAGACUGGGGAAGAGGAUCAGGGCCUGACUUUCCGCUUCAGAGCCAGCGGCUCCCAUCGGGCCCUGCCGAUUCCCAGCUUGCGUUCCCUCCCGUUUCUGCAGCACCUGUGCUUGCUUGGAUGGGGCCUCCAGUGCCACCCAGAGGUGGCCAGCCAGCUUGGCCCACUGCCACCUGCUCUCUGCCAGCCACACCCACUGGUCUUUCUCUGACCACCUCCAGGCCCGCUCAGGGGUCCUAUCUGAGCACCUGCCAGGGAAAAAGGAGCCAGGCUUUGGCCCGAGCCCCAGGGACUGCUGUGCCCAUCUUCCCUACACCCAUCUGCAUCCUUCAGUGGGCCUCAGUGAGCAGACACAGUCCAGUGGCCAGAGGUGACAGGAAUGCUGGGGAGAGCAGGCAGGGCCAGGCAUCAGGUCCAUGGGGCUCUGCCUCAGUGGGUCCUGAGAGCAGGACAGAGGGGAGACCCUGGAGUUGGGGCACACCUGCCCUCCCAGAGCACCAGCCCCUCCUCAGAUGUAGAAACCGAGGCCCUGGGGCCAAGUGUGCAUUUAAACCCUUUAACUACAACCUUUGGUACAAGAUUCUCCCUGGGGAUUCAGAUCUCAAAUAAGCACUAGCCCCAACCUCACUAAACAAUUCUCAGUUCGAACAGUUUCCAUGAUCUGUGGGUACUGACUCUGUCCUGGCCACUUGCUGACCAACGGGUUCAUUUGAUCCUCCCAGGUUUGGGGUGGGGGCCUGAAGCUCGGAGGGGAAGUCAGUUGCCCUGGGUCAUGCAGGUAGUCAGUCCACUGUGAACCAGGCCAUGUUCCUCCACCCCUGCUGCUCUCCUUCCCAGUAUGGGAGUCUAGAAACGGCAAAAGUCAGGGGAAAAUUGGGGGGGGGACACUGUAUUUUACUGUAUGUGGGGGGUCAGAAGCCCUCAGGUUAAGUCACUGUUCCAGUACCUCUCUGGCUUUCAUAGCUUCAGCUGUAAGAUGGGGCCCCUGAGCCAUAACUGACUUGCCCACUCCUCGCAUUCCCUGAUGCAUUCCCUGCUCAGGUUUAUACCACCACCCACCAGGCCCUCUACCUUCCACACACCUUGACUCUCUCCUUUCCCCUGACUCCAGGCUCAGGUUCCUGAGCUCCCUGCUGAGCUGUCUCCCCAGCAUUUCACCACCACACAAGGCGUCUCCAAAAUGGAACACGAGGACUGGGCCCGGCCCCCACCUCCCACGCCCUGGCACGGCACCCCCAGGUGCACUCUGCCUAGAUGCUCUGUCUUUCCCAUUUAGAGGCAGGGGCUCUCUACGGGCAGCCCCGAGCCCCUACUGAGAACCUGAGCUUUCCUGACUUGGCUGGGGCUGGGUGCUCAUGGUCUGCUGGAGUGGGAGUGGCACAGGCCAGGCUGUUGAGCUUUCGAAGCCAGCACAGAGGAAAACACAGCCACCGAGUCCUAUGGGAGCACAAGGAAGGGAACCUGAUCAUCACUUGGGGGUCCCAGGAAGCCUUUCCAGAGAGGUGACCCUGGGGCUAAGUUCUGAAGGUGAAUUAUCCGCCCCUGGAAAAGGCAAAGAUAGAUGUGGGAGACAGAAGAGAGCAAGGCCAGCAGGACGAAGAGGGGAUCAGAGAAGCUGGGACCUAGAGGGGGAGGUGAGCGGAGCCAGGAGCCCAGGGGGGCAAAAGGGAAAUCAAAGGCAACAAGAGUUGCUGUGGGGCUCAGGUGGCUGGUGGCAGGUGCAGGGCAGGGACAUUUCCUUGUCCUCAACCCACACAGAAAAGAGUUGGCAGGCACAUGGGUUGAGGCCUGGACAAAGAACUUGGGCCUGAUGGGCAGAGAGCGUGGAGCAAACCUCCUCUGAAUGUGGCCCUGGCCCCUGAUCCCUCCAGCUACCAGUUGCCAAGGUCUCAGCCAACCAGCACUGGAGGGCUGAGGGAGGUGAGGUGGGAUGAGUUGGGGAUGGGGGAAUUACUUCACUGUUUCCAAGUGGCUCAUACUCUGUCUCUCUUCUAGGUGUGAGUUCUUUUAGGAACAAAAAGACAAAGAAUGAAGCUCUAAUGGAAGAAUUUCAGGCAGGAUAGCUGCUGAACUACAGUUUUUAGAGAGGGAGCCAGGAGAUGGCUCCUGUUCUACUUCCGAAAAAGAGUGCUCUGCCUCUUUACUGGGAGGAAAGGACUUCUGGGUUCUCGGUGGUGGGAGGGCUGGUGGGAAGACAAGCCCGACUUACCUCCUCAGAACUUAGCACUUUGUCAGGGCUGGGGACAGGAGCCCCUCUGAGCUCCUCUGCUUUCAGCUACCCAAGCCAUCCUGGCUUCCAGGAGCCAUGGAAACCGCGGGCAACACGAAGUGGUAGGAGGAAGAGGAGACACCGGAGUCCUCUCACCUUGUCUUACUGGAUGAAACCCUUGGAUGAAACCUGGCUGAUG